rnacentral:pre_miRNA from 1 species
AGAAACAGACAGACAAAGACUGGGAACAGGCAGUGCAUGGAUGGGGCUACUAACAGAAAACAUCUGUUUUGGCUCUACCCCUGCACUGCCUCUUCCCUGGCUUCCGGUUCUUCUUUUUGU